UACGAGGGGGGCAAGCGUUGUUCGGAAUUACUGGGCGUAAAGCGUGCGCAGGCGGCUUCUCAAGUCAGGGGUGAAAGCCCAGAGCUCAACUCUGGAAUUGCCUUUGAGACUGAGUGGCUUGAGUACGAGAGAGGUGAGUGGAAUUCCCAGUGUAGAGGUGAAAUUCGUAGAUAUUGGGAAGGACACCGGUGGCGAAGGCGGCUCACUGGCUCGUAACUGACGCUCAUGCACGACAGCGUGGGGAUCAAACAGG
rnacentral:rRNA from 1 species